rfam:Ictidomys tridecemlineatus contig052706, whole genome shotgun sequence.
GUCCUUUUGUGGUUCACAAGCAUGAGGCUGGGUUUCCACACUAUCAUGUGAGAUGUGCCUCCCUCGAUCCUUAUUCCAACAUGGACCAGUUACCCAUCCAACA